UACGAAGGUGGCAAGCGUUACUCGGAAUUACUAGGCGUAAAGGGCAGGUAGGUGGUUCAGUAAGUCUGUUGUGGAAGCUCCCGGCUUAACCGGGAGAGGCCAACGGAAACUACUGAACUUGAGUGUAGGAGAGGGUAUUGGAAUUCCCGGUGUAGCGGUGAAAUGCGCAGAGAUCGGGAGGAACACCAAUGGCGAAAGCAGAUACCUGGACUAUUACUGACACUAAGCUGCGAAAGCUAGGGGAGCAAACAGG
rnacentral:rRNA from 1 species